CUAUACUCCUACGGGAGGCAGCAGUGGGGAAUAUUGCACAAUGGGCGAAAGCCUGAUGCAGCGACGCCGCGUGAGGGAUGACGGCCUUCGGGUUGUAAACCUCUUUCGACAGGGACGAAGCGCAAGUGACGGUACCUGUAGAAGAAGCACCGGCCAACUACGUGCCAGCAGCCGCGGUAAUACGUAGGGUGCGAGCGUUGUCCGGAAUUACUGGGCGUAAAGAGCUUGUAGGCGGUUUGUCGCGUCGUCCGUGAAAACUUGGGGCUCAACCCCAAGCUUGCGGGCGAUACGGGCAGACUUGAGUACUGCAGGGGAGACUGGAAUUCCUGGUGUAGCGGUGAAAUGCGCAGAUAUCAGGAGGAACCACCGGUGGCGAAGGCGGGUCUCUGGGCAGUAACUGACGCUGAGAAGCGAAAGCGUGGGUAGCGAACAGGAUUAGAUACCCUGGUAGUCCACGCCGUAAACGGUGGGCGCUAGGUGUGGGUUUCCUUCCACGGGAUCCGUGCCGUAGCUAACGCAUUAAGCGCCCCGCCUGGGGAGUACGGCCGCAAGGCUAAAACUCAAAGGAAUUGACGGGGGCCCGCACAAGCGGCGGAGCAUGUGGAUUAAUUUGAUGCAACGCGAAGAACCUUACCUGGGUUUGACAUACACCGGAAACCUGCAGAGAUGUACGCCCCCCCUU
rnacentral:rRNA from 1 species